UCCGUAGGCGGGCCAUUAAGUCAGUGGUGAAAGUCUGCAGCUCAACUGUAGAAUUGCCUUUGAUACUGGUGGUCUUGAGUUAUGGUGAAGUGGCUGGAAUAUGUAGUGUAGCGGUGAAAUGCAUAGAUAUUACAUAGAACACCGAUUGCGAAGGCAGGUCACUAACCAUAUACUGACGCUGAUGGACGAAAGCGUGGGGAGCGAACAGGAUUAGAUACCCUGGUAGUCC
rnacentral:rRNA from 1 species